UUAAAUUGAAGAGUUUGAUCAUGGCUCAGAUUGAACGCUGGCGGCAGGCCUAACACAUGCAAGUCGAGCGGAAACGAGUUGUCUGAACCUUCGGGGAACGAUAACGGCGUCG
rnacentral:rRNA from 1 species